rnacentral:lncRNA from 1 species
CAGGUGUGCUUUUACAGUCCUGACUGUCAUGUUUGCAGUAUUGUGCAUGUAUCUGCCUGGCUUGAACACAUCACUACAACAGUCCACACUGGCUCCACUCUGCAUUGCCCAUGGCUGUGAAUUUUAUGUUCCAGGUCUUCCACCUCCUCCCCUUCUGUCUCCUUUUGCUGGCAGGCCGGUACCCUGUCAGAGCAGGAAGAGCCGUGCUGAACACUGCCAUGCAGAGACAGGCAAGCAGACAAUGUCAGCUGAGAGAAACAGGCUUAAUACAGCGACUGCCGCAGUGUUGUGCAGGGACAGACUCACAACCACAUACGCUUGCAAACUUUACUGUUACAAAUAAAAUGUUUGUGGUGCUUAUUGCUUAAAUCUUUGAAGUACUAAAAAGUAUUAUUUUUAUGAAAGCUACCAUUAUUCAUAUUGAUAUAAAUCGCUCAAAAGGACGUUAUACCUUUGAAGCGAUACAGAGAAUUUUAUAAUAUAUAGCAAAUCUUUUUGCCUCAGUGGGAAAACUGUAGAAAUGUAAAAGUACAAAUUCCUGGAGGAGACAACUGAAGAAAGCAAAGGAGCAGUGUCUGUGUCUGUGGCUCCAGCACUCUUCAAAAAAUCGUGUUGGACUUUCUUCAGAAGGAGAAGACGUUAAGCCAAUUUGUCGUUCAGGCUUGAAAGGCUUUCCAGACUGGAGCCCAGAGGAAGCCUGAAACUUCCCCCAGGCUGGUGUUCUGAUGAUCACUGAGGAAAUUGAUCGCCGAGCAGUUCUGUUAAGUUUAUGCUCGUCAGCAGACCUUAAUGCGCAUUCAUGCUGAACGCAGAUCGAUGGCAGCAGGAUGGAUCAGGAGGUCUGGGAACCACAAGGCUCUCAGCAUGUUUACUGUGCCACGUGUGUCCCAGAGAAAGUUGACUAAGGGAUAAAAGCACAUUGCACUGAUGGAGCAAUUGAUGAUACUUAAGUCCACUCAAGUGUUACAGUAUACUGUAUACAUUUUAAUAACAUGUAUCUAUUGUUGUUCUAAGCCUUUGCUGUCUUAAAAAUAUGCCUGCCCCAGUAAUGUCAACUUAUCCAGGCGUCUCAAAGUCCUGGACAGCCCCAGUCCAGCAGGUUUUUUAGGCAGCAAAGGCUUAGAACAGCUUUACUAUGAUCAAAUAAGGAAGUUGUCUGUUCAGUGGAGUCUUAUUAGAGUAUCUCUCAGCCCUCAAGGACCAGUGUGGCCUUCGUUGAAACAUUACUUGCUUAAUUGGUUAGUUGCAUAAACAAGUGUCCUUAAUCGUUAAAGAACGAGUGCUUCAGGGUCGCCUUUACAGUGAGAAUAACUGGAUAUAAUAACUAAUGAAUAACUCCAGGAUUGGAGACCCCAUCCUAAUCUGAGAGAGCACAGCAUCCCUUCAACUCCAUUAUAAUAUUUUAGUAAAACUGACUUCUAUAGUUCUUAGUUGAUAAUUGAAAGUUUAACCAAUGAGGAGUCUGUUGACUGAAUGUACUGCAAUAGGGUGAGUUGGAUAGACUGUAGUUUCAAGAGCCUUACCCUAAUCCCAGCCUCAGACCUGCCUAGUAUGAACCACACAACUGCUGCAUCAUGUCCACCAAUCCAUCAAUCCUCCCAUCCAUUCAUUUUCUAUCCCAGCAAGCAAUGUGCGCAAGGCAGGAUACACCCUGGAUGGGAUGCCAGUCCAUCACAGGGCACACAGAUACAAACAAAAACACUAGGGCCAGUUUUCCCAGGGGCCAAUUAACCUACCAGCAUGUGGGUGAGAGGAAACCUCUUUCCUAAUUUCCCUAAACACACUCUCCAGCCUGGACUCUAGAGAUUGAACGGAUUCUGUUGGCACGUCUGCAAGAUUCCUGUGUGUCCUUGACCUGGAUAAGCUGUGCCUUUGGACUGACACACUAUCACCCUCUGCAAUCAGUCACCAAGUUUCCCAGAAUUUUAUCCAGCUGAGCUGUGAGUGGCUUUAACGUAUUUGAUUACUAAACGAGAAAAGUUUUCCUUUCUAAGCCUAUACCUAUUUAUUCAAACAGGAGUAGUCAACUCCAGGACAUUCUAAUCCAUUCCACUACACAUUUCUAUCCAACAAGCUGUUGAAUUAUGUAAUGUAUAAUAAUGUAUUGCGCUAAUUAAAGAAUGCAUUGGUGUUAGUUUGUAUUACUGGGAUGCUGCUCUGGAAUGGAUUGGCAGGACUAGUAUUUGACAACCUAGAAUUACAGCAGUGAUGUUAGACUCAGUUCCUGGAGGGCCUUACAUCUUCUGGUUUUUGUUCCAACCUGAGUUGUCAAUUAAAUCGUUAUUAUAAUACAAUUACAUUUGUAACUGUUUGCUGAGCUGGACAUUUAUAGAAUGUUUUCAAUGUAUUUUCCAGUUGACUAAUUGAAGCUUCCAUUUAAUUAAAGGAACGGUUACCUCUAAAUGCCUCAGAGCCUGGUUAGGAAUAUUAUGCAGUUAAUUGAAAAAGUACACCAGUGUGUAACUGAGAGCUUGCGUGAUCGACACCCCUGAUUUAAAACAUCCUAUAAAUGAGGAGUGUCAAACUCAACUGCUUAUUUAGUCAAAAUCGGUGGGGGAGUGGGGCUGCCCAACUGUGAUCUAGCAGAUUUUACCCUUAGAUCAACUAGGG